rnacentral:rRNA from 1 species
GAUGAACGCUGGCGGCGUGCCUAAUACAUGCAAGUCGAGCGAACGGACGAGAAGCUUGCUUCUCUGAUGUUAGCGGCGGACGGGUGAGUAACACGUGGAUAACCUACCUAUAAGACUGGGAUAACUUCGGGAAACCGGAGCUAAUACCGGAUAAUAUUUUGAACCGCAUGGUUCAAAAGUGAAAGACGGUCUUGCUGUCACUUAUAGAUGGAUCCGCGCUGCAUUAGCUAGUUGGUAAGGUAACGGCUUACCAAGGCAACGAUGCAUAGCCGACCUGAGAGGGUGAUCGGCCACACUGGAACUGAGACACGGUCCAGACUCCUACGGGAGGCAGCAGUAGGGAAUCUUCCGCAAUGGGCGAAAGCCUGACGGAGCAACGCCGCGUGAGUGAUGAAGGUCUUCGGAUCGUAAAGCUCUGUUAUUAGGGAAGAACAUAUGUGUAAGUAACUGUGCACAUCUUGACGGUACCUAAUCAGAAAGCCACGGCUAACUACGUGCCAGCAGCCGCGGUAAUACGUAGGUGGCAAGCGUUAUCCGGAAUUAUUGGGCGUAAAGCGCGCGUAGGCGGUUUUUUAAGUCUGAUGUGAAAGCCCACGGCUCAACCGUGGAGGGUCAUUGGAAACUGGAAAACUUGAGUGCAGAAGAGGAAAGUGGAAUUCCAUGUGUAGCGGUGAAAUGCGCAGAGAUAUGGAGGAACACCAGUGGCGAAGGCGACUUUCUGGUCUGUAACUGACGCUGAUGUGCGAAAGCGUGGGGAUCAAACAGGAUUAGAUACCCUGGUAGUCCACGCCGUAAACGAUGAGUGCUAAGUGUUAGGGGGUUUCCGCCCCUUAGUGCUGCAGCUAACGCAUUAAGCACUCCGCCUGGGGAGUACGACCGCAAGGUUGAAACUCAAAGGAAUUGACGGGGACCCGCACAAGCGGUGGAGCAUGUGGUUUAAUUCGAAGCAACGCGAAGAACCUUACCAAAUCUUGACAUCCUUUGACAACUCUAGAGAUAGAGCCUUCCCCUUCGGGGGACAAAGUGACAGGUGGUGCAUGGUUGUCGUCAGCUCGUGUCGUGAGAUGUUGGGUUAAGUCCCGCAACGAGCGCAACCCUUAAGCUUAGUUGCCAUCAUUAAGUUGGGCACUCUAAGUUGACUGCCGGUGACAAACCGGAGGAAGGUGGGGAUGACGUCAAAUCAUCAUGCCCCUUAUGAUUUGGGCUACACACGUGCUACAAUGGACAAUACAAAGGGCAGCGAAACCGCGAGGUCAAGCAAAUCCCAUAAAGUUGUUCUCAGUUCGGAUUGUAGUCUGCAACUCGACUAUAUGAAGCUGGAAUCGCUAGUAAUCGUAGAUCAGCAUGCUACGGUGAAUACGUUCCCGGGUCU